AGCAGUGGAUGGCCGGUUAUCGCUCCUUUUGGAAAACUGGCUUGUGCUACCGAACGCAAGUGAAGUAUGCAUUUUGUCAACUUUUCUUAAAAGUUGUGAGGAAGGUCUGCCCACUAAGUUUUUCUUAAAAAGAAAAACUUGCAAAAGAAUCAGCUUGCGCAAGCAAGUUAUGAUCUUAACCUGGAAAGGUUUUCUUGGGAACAGAAACGAUACCAAUUCAGUCCUGAACAAGGGCUGAUAGGAUGAAACGGCCCAAGAAAUUAGUGCAAGCACUUUUGUGCGCUUAGUCGAAUACUGGCUCAAAACAAAAGGCAGCCUACUUUCCACUGCU
rnacentral:RNase_P_RNA from 1 species